rnacentral:lncRNA from 1 species
GGAAGAUUAUGGGAUGGAGCUGGAACCAGGUUGAAUGGUGGUGGGCUUUUAUUAGCAGUGCCGUGGGGGCGGCGGUGAAGGGCUGUUGCUGGACAAAUUGAGAGCUGGACAAAUAGAUCUGCAGUUUUGGAGCCAGUUUCUGAAUUGGGCGGGGGAGAGUUGGAGGAAAGAGGGAUGCACUACCCUCCUUAGCCUCUUAGCGGGCUUAGAAGGGGAGGGCCCAGAGAACUACAAUACCCAGAAGCCCCAAAGCGUCCCAGCGGCUCAGAAAGGGCUUUGGGGAGCGCGCCCUCAAGGAGUGUGGCGGAAUUGGCAAGAGGCAAAAACAAACUGCUCUCCUGCUUUGGUGUUUCGCCAGGAGGUUAUAGACCAAGCAGGAGAUUUGUGGAGAUCUGGCAGGAGAUGAAAAGAGCAUGAUGUAGAGCUGAGGAAUAAUGCAAUAAGUAGUGGACCAGGAAAACAACCAGUAUCAGAGACACCUGGGCAGGACAUCCCCCUCUGCCAGGGGAGUGAGAGGGGUGCUCGACAUCAUUGGACCCCUGAGGAAAAUUAAGGGCAGAAGGGCAGAGAGAAUCUAACCAGCAGGGGGCCACAAACCUGAUUUUCUUCAAGAUCAGGUGCACUAUUCCAGAGGUAUGUAAUCUGUGACUAGCUUUGGUUUAUUUUAGCCUUUCUCAGGAUUCAGAUGAGAGAAUGGGGAUGCUUAUAGUAGGAUAAUGAAUUUGGGACUGUUGUGACUUACAAAAUCAUAGAAUUUAGAGAGAGAACAGACUUUAAGUUCAUCUGGUCCAACUCCAAUGACUUAUAAAUGAGGAAACUGAGACCUGGAGAGAAUAAGUGACUUAUCCUGGCCACAGAGCUAGGAUCCAAAUCUAGGCACCUGUUUUCUUUCUAGCUGAUAUCACCUUCCCUCCCUCCCCCCUUUCCCCACUUAACAUUUAGUAGAUUUAAUUGUUCAAUAAAUGCUUAUUGACUUGCUGGGGAUUAGGGCUG